rnacentral:lncRNA from 1 species
AUACCAUGUGCCUACAAGACACCUAUCCCAGAGCUCUAUUUAGUGACUGGCUUGUUCUUGCUGGCGCACGGAGCCAUUCUGCCAAACCUCUCCAAGCCUGUAUCAGCUCUUUGGCUUUGAAGUGAGGACCUAUCCACACAGCCAUUUGGUAUAGUCCAGACCUCCCUUGAGCAUCAUUGGAUUUGAGUAGCACCAGCACAUGGGGGAAGUAUCGUGAGGAAUCUCUUACGGUAAGAACAUCCUUUUAUUGAAGCUGGCACUUAUGGUGUAAUGGCAAAUGAAAUGUGCAGGGGCUACAACCAGUGACAAAUACCCUGAGACAUAAAUAAGCUAUAUGCUAUAUCUUGCCCUAAAACCUUCUAUAGAUA